UACGUAGGGUGCAGGCGUUAAUCGGAAUUACUGGGCGUAAAGCGUGCGCAGGCGGUCUGCUAAGAGAGAUGUGAAAUCCCCGGGCUUAACCUGGGAACUGCGUUUCUAACUGGCAGGCUUGAGUGUGGCAGAGGGGGGUGGAAUUCCACGUGUAGCAGUGAAAUGCGUAGAGAUGUGGAGGAACACCGAUGGCGAAGGCAGCCCCCUGGGCUAACACUGACGCUCAUGCACGAAAGCGUGGGGAGCAAACAGG
rnacentral:rRNA from 1 species